AGCGAACGCUGGCGGCGUGCCUAACACAUGCAAGUCGAACGUGAAAAGGGGCAACCCUGAGUAAAGUGGCGUACGGGUGAGUAACACGUAGGUAAUCUACCCUAAAGUCUGGAAUAACCGGCCGAAAGGCUGGCUAAUACUGGAUAGAGCGACGGAAUCCGUAAUUGGGUUUUUCGGGAAAGGGAGGCAGCAAUGCCCUUCGCUUUAGGUAUGAGCCUGCGUCCCAUCAGGUAGUUGGCAGGGUAACGGCCUACCAAGCCUAUGACGGGUAGCUGGUCUGAGAGGAUGAUCAGCCACACUGGAACUGAAACACGGUCCAGACUCCUACGGGAGGCAGCAGUGGGGAAUCUUGCGCAAUGGACGAAAGUCUGACGCAGCCACGCCGCGUGAGUG
rnacentral:rRNA from 1 species